CCUUUACUGACGCUAAAGCUCGAAGGUGCGGGUAUCGAACAGGAUUAGAUACCCUGGUAGUCCGCACGGUAAACGAUGGAUGCCCGCUGUUUGCGAUACACUGUGAGCGGCCAAGCGAAAGCGUUAAGCAUCCCACCUGGGGAGUACGCCGGCAACGGUGAAACUCAAAGGAAUUGACGGGGGCCCGCACGAGCGGAGGAACAUGUGGUUUAAUUCGAUGAUACGCGAGGAACCUUACCCGGGCUUGAACUGCCGGCGAACGAUACAGAGAUGUUGAGGCCCUUCGGGGCGCCGGCGGAGGUGCUGCAUGGUUGUCGUCAGCUCGUGCCGUGAGGUGUCGGCUUAAGUGCCAUAACGAGCGCAACCCCUCUCCGUAGUUGCCAUCGGGUGAUGCCGGGCACUCUGCGGACACUGCCACCGUAAGGUGUGAGGAAGGUGGGGAUGACGUCAAAUCAGCACGGCCCUUACGUCCGGGGCUACACACGUGUUACAAUGGGUGGUACAGAGGGCAGGCGUCCGGCAACGUCCGUCUAAUCCCGAAAGCCAUCCUCAGUUCGGACUGGGGUCUGCAACCCGACCCCAUGAAGCUGGAUUCGCUAGU
rnacentral:rRNA from 1 species